ensembl:lncRNA
GGAGUCCCUCCUCUAAAAGCACUCUGUGUGGGGAACAUGAGAGCCAGACCAAAGCUCAGAGGAACCCACCUGGACCUCCACCCAGCUCUGUGUCCCUAAAGAGUGACUGGUCUAAAGAUGAGCUCAUUUAUUUUAAAUCCCAGCCUGUGUCUGCUGCAGAGAGGCACCCAACACAUUUCGGAAAAAUGAGAAAACAUGAGAACCGAAUCAGCCAAGGUGUGCUCUCAUUGGCAGGGGAACAAUAUGAGAACAGUACCAGCAACAACAGUCUCCAGGAUGAAGAUAUAUAUAUACAAAAACAAAAUUCCCCACUCCCCCUUGCAG